GGCGAGGUCGGCGAGGGCGCGGAGCGCACCGGCGUUCCCGCCGUCGGCGGCGCGGCGCCACCAGCGUUCGGCGUCGGCGAGUUCGCCGC
rnacentral:tRNA from 1 species